rnacentral:rRNA from 1 species
AGGCGACGACGGGUAGCCGGCCUGAGAGGGCGACCGGCCACACUGGGACUGAGACACGGCCCAGACUCCUACGGGAGGCAGCAGUGGGGAAUAUUGGGCAAUGGAGGAAACUCUGACCCAGCGACGCCGCGUGCGGGAUGAAGGCCUUCGGGUUGUAAACCGCUUUCAGCAGGGAAGAAGCGAAAGUGACGGUACCUGCAGAAGAAGCACCGGCUAACUAUGUGCCAGCAGCCGCGGUAAUACAUAGGGUGCAAGCGUUGUCCGGAAUUAUUGGGCGUAAAGAGCUCGUAGGUGGUUCGUCACGUCGGAUGUGAAACUCUGGGGCUUAACCCCAGACCUGCAUUCGAUACGGGCGAGCUUGAGUAUGGUAGGGGAACUUGGAAUUCCU